GGGUUAAGGUAGAAAAUAUUCAUCACACAACUUAAACGUGUGUCUGUGCAGUCAGUUCACAAUAUAUUCCCAGACUUGGUUAAAUGAUCUACAAUUCUCCAUAAUUUGAAAAUUAUCCUAGUAAUAGCUCCUUAUCUUGCCUUGUCAUGGUGCCUGUGUGUGUUUCAAGUGUUCAUUUAUUCAAAGUAAAUUCUUCAAAUGUACCCAUUUCUUAAGUCUGUUGGGACAGGUAUGGUUUAGUGAGGAGUGAAGUAUGUGAGACCUGAGGAACGUCCUGGAAAGAUAACUCUCUCCCGUUGCCUCAUACUCCACUGCAUAAAGCAGGAAUUAUGAAGGGCCGGGCCAGCACUAACACUCCCUGAAAAAGAGGAAGCUCUAUGGGCUCUCAGGCGUAUGCCCCAGAACUUAUUACAGCGCCUCUUCCUGGGGGGCCAUGAAAGGAACCCCUGAUAUAAAGAAAGGUCAAGUUAAGGCACUUAUGACCUAGGGUCAUGGGCACUACAGCUCCCCCUGCCGGCGGGCUCCUGCCAUAGGCGAUAUAAACGUUCAGUCCCAAGGUUCGCUGCACACUUCUGCAAGAUGAGACAGAGCAGCCUCUCUGUUCUCACCGGGAUUUUCCUCCUCCUCUGCCUCCACUUGGCGCAGCCUGAAUGGAGGGCGAUGGAUGUGGUCAGACCUGGAUACUGUCCAGAGUUCCCACUCCGCUGUCCCUUCACGAUGAUACCGCUGUGCCGGCGCGAUAGAAACUGCAAGAAGGACAAGAAGUGUUGUUUCUACAACUGUAGAUAUCAGUGUAUGGUGCCGUGGCAGAGUCUGGAUUGAGGUAGAAAUCCCUUCCUACCGGGGCCUGAGAAGACACUGGUAGAACAGGCUCCGACUUGGAUAACUGGUCUCCAAUUCUUCCAUGUGCUCCUCACCCCCCAGACUUCCUUUAUCAGAGUUCAAUGCUUAUUACUAUGAAAGCAACACAAAGAAAUAAAGUGAUAUCUACCUGAAACAAUUGUCCAUGAGAAUCUAUGACUGCCCGGUCGCUCUGUGCUCCGCCUUCUGGGAAGAUCCUUGAGGGGUCUACUGACACUCAGAUUCCCUGUUGGUCAGUUUCCAAAACCUGACCUUGGGCCGUGGGGCAUUAUGAGUCAUAGUUUCUGAGUUUGGGUCCCAUGAAAGGUGUAUAUGUGCGUCUGAGUGGAGGAGCAACGCUUUUUGCUACACUUUCUCUGAUACUGCGGCUGCUGGCCUUUCCACACCUUGAUGAUUGUUCCAGGUUUCUAAGA